UACGUAGGGGGCAAGCGUUGUCCGGAAUCAUUGGGCGUAAAGCGCGUGUAGGCGGCUUGGUAAGUCUGCUCUGAAAGUCCGGGGCUCAACUCCGGAUCUGCGGUGGGUACGGGCAGACUAGAGUGAUGUAGGGGAGACUGGAAUUCCUGGUGUAGCGGUGGAAUGCGCAGAUAUCAGGAGGAACACCGAUGGCGAAGGCAGAUCUCUGGGCCGUAACUGACGCUGAGGAGCGAAAGCGUGGGGAGCGAACAGG
rnacentral:rRNA from 1 species